rnacentral:lncRNA from 10 species
CGUCGACCCCACGCCACGCAGAGGUGAAGAUACGCAGGACGUCCUCUAAAGCAACUUCCGUGGGUGCCAGGUUGUGGGCUGGGGGCGGUGCUGACCUUGAGAGAGCGGAGGAGGCGCAGGCGCAGCACAGGUACGUGGGCGGGCGGAUCGUGGUGGCUGCGCUUGCGAGGACCCUGAGGUAGAUUGGGUGGUUUCAACAGGAACGCAUCCACUGUCUGAGAGGUGGCAAUUGAAGCCGGAAGAACAUCUACCAAGAGCAGAGAACCCAGGAAGAAAAUUCUGCCUCUUUAAUACGUUCCAAUAUGGACGUUUUCCAUAUAGAUACCUAUCUAUAUAGAUAGAUGCUCUGGGAUCUGACGGUCCUGGACACCUGUAUGGCUGUGUGCUGUGGUCUUUGCCUAGCCUGCGGUUCACUUUUGCUCUGGCCACCACCUCCCCUCAUUUUAAACUUGAUUUUGUGAGGGGACGAACAGCGUGACAAUUAAAAGAAGAUCUGGGAAUCAAAAGCUUCCUGAGGCCUUCACCAGAAGCAGAUGCUGGUGCCGUGCUUCUACAGCCUGCAGAACUGAAGGACUUUACAGCUUCUCUUUCGCAUAUCCAAAUUGCCAGCAUCACCGCUCUUGCACUCCAAGCCAUUAUUAAGUAAAGUAAAGAACACAAACACUGUGAUACUGCUACACUUGAUCUGAUAACCAAGAAGUCUACUAAGUGACUAACAGUUAAUAUUUUUGGACAUGAGGUGACUGCAGUUAACUAAAACCAUGGAAAGCAAACCCAUAGAUAAAGGGAUACUAUGAGCAACUGGGAACCUAAUUCUGACCAAAAAGGAGGAAUUGUUUGGCUAAUUGGAAGUGACAGAAACCUUGGGAGAAAGCAACCGCAUACCAAGGAUAAUUAUAAGAAGAAGAGAAGACAUGGAGAAGAGGAGGGAGUAGUUGUGACCGUGGAGGCAGAGAAUGGAGUAAUGUGAUCAUAAAUCAAGGAAUGCUGACAGCCACUAAAGCUGGAGAAGGCCAAGGACAGAUAUUCAAUCCUCCCGUAGAAGUACAGCCCUGCUAAUGCAUUGAUUUUGGACUUCUGGCCUCAGAACUAUUUAUAUAUCAGCUUUUUAUCAGUUGAAAUAAACCACCCUGGGCCGGGUGCAGUGGCUCACACCUGUAAUCCCAGCACUUUGGGAGGCCGAG